GUUUUUUUCUUCUCACAAAAAAAAACAAUAUGUUUUCUUUGAGGAAUAUCUCGGUGUUAUCUCAAGCAUACCAGCAUCUCGAAGCUUUACACUGGAGGGGGUUUACAUCUAGUUUCAACAGAAGCAUGUGUUCAAUGUUCAACAAACAUAUCAAUUUCUCCAUUGCAUAUCAUUCUUCAUAUUGAGGAUUUGUCAUUUGUAUUACAUUCCACGUCAUGCUGAAUUAGUGCCUAACUUGAUAAGGAUUUUUAUUGUGUGUAUUGUUGACAUUUCAGAGGUUUUUUCUGAAAUUAAAUAAAAAUUAAUAUUUUUGCU
rnacentral:sRNA from 1 species